UGUCAUUGUGGGAUAUUUUUG
rnacentral:piRNA from 1 species